AAUCGGGAUUUUUAAAAGCUCCCCUCGUGGCGGGCCCCGUGGCCGAGUGGUUAAGUUCUCUCGUUCCGCUUCGGAGCGCCGGUUCAGAUCCUGGGCGCAGACAUGGCACCACUCAUCAGGCCAUCCUGUGGAGUCAUCCCACAUGCCACAACUAGAAGGACCCACAACUAAAAUAUACAAGGUUAUAUUCAUUGACCUACAUAUCUGCUAAUCUGUGUAAUGGUUUAUGCAGGAAAUUGCAAUUGAAGAAAGAUCUUACAUCAUACCAAGAGCGGAGGUUCCAGAGACGUGAUUUUCAAUUUAUCAAGAUGGGCAAUGGAUACUUUCAGUGUUCCUUGAGUAACAGAAAUGGCUUUUUUAUUGGCUGAUCAAACAGAGGGAUCCCCACAGACACAAGGCAAUUUCCUUCUCCAACAGGGAAAUGCACCCAUAUUAGGAGCAGUGAUGUCCCCUGCUUGCUCAUCUUACCAUUUUGCUCGUGCCAGGUGGGAGCCAGGGACGCUUCAGCAGGAUCUGUGUGGAUUCUAGAAUCUGACCACUUCCUGAGCUUUAGUGUGACUGAUUAAAUUAUUACUGCCUUCUCGGAGCUGAAAACCCUCUUCCUCUUCUGUUUUGAGUUGGAGGAUGCUUGAUGAUUGAUUUUCUACAGUCCUCCACCUAACAUAAUUUCUACCACUUACAUCAACAGUUGACUUCCACCCAACACUCUUCCUGAGCAUAUUUUAUUUUCUUUAUAGUACUCAUGAUUUGCCAAAUUAUCUUGUUUAAUACAUUUGUUUGUUCUUGAAAUCUGCCUUCUCCACAAGAAUAUAAACCCCGCAAGGACUGGUACCUGCUAUAUCUCUAUGUCUUUGAAAGUGCUUGGCAUCUAGUAGGGAUGAAAAAUAAUAUUUGUUCAAUGAAUCAUGAUGUGAUCAGCUUGGGGCCUUUAGAUAGUCAAGGUGAUUGUGUCACGGGUUAUUUGGUGACAGCUAUGUUCUUAACACUACAUAUUUUCUCUGAAAAGAAAUUCACCUGGAAAAGAAAAUACCCUAGUACAUUAGGCCGAUAAGUCUGUGCUAGGCAGAUUUCCUCGUCAAAGUGGUCCUCAGAUCAAGGCUCUGUGCCAUCUGUCCAGAGACGUUCCAUUGCUCAGGAGUCAGGGACAAGCACUUGUUACCCCCGAUGCUUUACUUUAAACAAAAUAAAAGCAUGCUGCAACUCCCACCCUAUGUACUCCCAGAGUAAGAUCUAGAAUUACAAAGCUCCAAGAGUUUCCAAUCUCAGUGGAAAAUUGGCUGUCACAUGGAACGAGAUAUAUACUAACUGAUUUUGCCAUGCAAUUGGGUUCU
rnacentral:lncRNA from 1 species